GGGUAGUGACUUACGUGUUUUCUUCUGGCUCUACUUGUAGAAAUAAUGUUAGAGGAUCGGCAAAUAUGAUAUUCUUGCAUGACCCAACUGGUUUCAAUGCCGUGUGGAGCUUCUCCUAUGUGGAAUACAAGUGGUGAUAAGAAAUUGAGUAGGUUAAAGAUACCGUUGAGUUGGGAAGGAUGAGCGAGAGAGAGAUCAAGAUCAGGGAUGAUGUUGGGAUGGCAUGGCAAAAGAGAAGCCUUGGCAUAGAGAAAGUGAAGGACAAGUUCUUCAUCCGUUGGAGAGAACAAAAACCCAGGAGGAAGCUGCUUCACGCUUUCAUAAUCUGCAGUAGUAGAAGUAGUAGUCAUCAUCAUCAUAGAAUUGGUGUAUGAAUUGUUGAGUUUGGUAUAGUAAUAACUACACUUCCAUAAUCCAUUUAUUUUGUCACUAUAUAUAUAGUUUGAGAUGCUGAGUAGAGAGAUAAAGAUUCGGGUUGAUUAUUUUUCACAAAAGCUAACUAUAAUAAUGGAUGGAUAGAUUGCUGGAAAUUAUAAAGGCGGCGGUAGUACUUGGAACAUGUCAUAAUAUCACAAGGUUAAUUAAAGGCGGCCAAGGAAACUAACAACAAAAGCUAACUACUUUGGUUUUAAGACACAUAUAUACACACACACUAAAGUUAAUUUCCAGCAAUAUUAUUCAACAAUAUGUAUGACAA